UCGUGCCACUGCACUCCACCCUGGGCAACAGAGUGAGACUCCAUCUAAAAAAAAAAAAGAUACACAUUAAGUUUUUCACACAAAUUCUUAAGGGCAGAUAUUACUAAAUGCCAUUAGAAAAAAAGGAAACCUUUUAUCAAGCAUUUUUUAAAAAUGCUUCUACAUUUCUUAUUUAUAGGUAUUCUAAUAAUACUGCGUGACAUUACGGACAACUUAGCCUAAAUUAUGGAAAAUCAAAUUAUUUAGUAGAACUGCAAGACAAUCCUCUCAGUUGUUGUACAGAAGGUAAGCAUGAGCAAAUUACUUUUUAGAGGUAACUUUGCUGAACUUGUGAAGAAUGGUGUGCAAGGUCCAGAGCGACUGCAGGAGAGGGAAGGUGGGAUUCCCACAGAGCAGGAGCACAGAUAAGCCAAGCAAGGCCCUGCUUGGAAGGCAGCAAUCAACAGAGAUGCACAGACCUGUGAGGGUGCCGGGACAGCCAUGCAACAAUGCAGCCCUUUUGCUUCCUGAGCUCACCAGUUCCCUCGCUCCACCUCUGAGAGGUGGUUUGGAGAAACACAGCCCUUCUCAAGAGGGCUGCAAGGUAAGUUUAGUUGGUACAUGAGUGCACAGCACAUUUUAAUUUUUAUAGUUAUGCAUUUAUUUUAUAUGUACUAGACAAACGACCGACAGAAAAUUUACCAUUUCACAGGUAUUAGUGUUUAGGAUGAGGCUAAAGUAGGUAUUUCUGUUUAAAAAAGUAAAUUUGAAGAAAAGCUACCCAGCAAAUUAUAGUAGUAUGUGGUACACAGACAAAAAAAAAAUUAUGCAGUCGUCCAAAUGACUGAAACUGAUAAAAUGCUGGUCCUGGUCUAUGGAUUCCCCCUCUGACAAAGCACAGAAUACUCGCACCUUCUCCAGAGUCAGUGACCAAAGAUGAGAGAGCAGGGCACCCAGCACAGAAACCACCAGGAGCCAAUGACUUCCUCCUGUGCUCCAUCCUACUCUCUCACUCACACCAGGAAUUAAAUCCUUUUAUGUAGACAGAUGGUCAAGAAUUGCUACUAUAAAGCAACUCAGUAUGGUCUGAACUAUCAGAGAGCUACAUGGAGAAAUAGCUACUGCUAAACAGACCUCUCUGCUGAUGUUUUUCCCAGCUACUUAAGUCCUGAAAAUUUCCACAAGGCUGAGUCAAAUCUGCGUUUCAUCAUCUAUAAGAAAGGUACCUAUCGAGAACACCCUGCUGGCCAGUGUGUAAAUAUCUAAAGGAGGACUCAGAAAACACCGGGGAAGUCCAGCCUGCACGUGGUGGCUGGGCUUCAGUGAAGCAUGCAGCACAACAGGAGUUGUAAGUAGUAGUUACAUCAGCAGCCCUGGAAAUUCUGCUCAGAACCAAACUGAACAAAUAACAUUAUCUAAGGCUUACAAUUAUUUAACUCCCUAAAUUUUCUGUCCUCCCAGUAGCACUUUCAAAUGCCUAAAAGCAAUUAAAAGAAACAUUUUUCCAAUGUCUCACAGAACCAUUAGAAACACAAAAUUAAUAGCUUCAUAAACUAUAGCUUCUAUUUUAUCCAUAAUAGAAUGAAGGUGCAUAAACCACAUAGUAAUUAAUCUUUGGACAAAAGCAAACAAUAAAUGGAAUAUAUGGCUAAGAUCCUUUCUUUUUGAGUGUGGCCCAAGAUAAAAAUUUCUUCCAAAAGGGUAACAUUAAUGCAAUAAGGCUUUUGUGGAAUUCUAUUUUGUACGAAAUUCCUGUUUUCUAUUAGCUACUUCUUCCUCUGUGACACAAGCCUCAUUCCUUGUGAAAAACACGAAGCAGAAAACAUUCGUGAAAUCAUCAGGUAAAGAUCCCAUGACCGUUCUAUCACUGACACAGUAUGUAGGUACAUGGUACAACCCCCAAGGGACCACCUUGUGGCAUCCUCAGCAACCACAGAGCCACAGGGCAGAUGAGUGUUUGCUCCCACUGAGGCUCUGCAACCUCUGCCACCAAUACUGGAGAAAUCCUCCAACCUCACUGUUUUCUCCUGAACUUGUUCCCUUCUGUUUUUCGAUUAAUACACAGCAAACAGGCACACCUUCAAGCUGCCAAAAGCAUCUUAAACGUUGUACACUUACAAUCUUCAAAAUAUAGUUGUUCAAAAGAGUCAUCAAAGUAGUUUUUGAAAUAGAACACUUACUUUGACCACAUAAUUGAACCUUCGGAUAUCUUGAAUUGCACUUGAGAAGUCUAACCGAUUAAAGGCUUCUCCCAAGGUGCAAUAGCCAUGCCUCUGGAAGAGCAACACAGAAUUUAAAAUUAGUCAAUUAGCCAAAAAGAAUUGGCAGUUAAUGUCAAUUAAUUGUGCGAUUAAAAAAAUUUUUGGCAAAGGACAAUUUGUUUUUAUUUUGAAGACUGAUUUUAGAUUUAGAUGAGAGUAUAGUAAAAUUGUAGCAAUGCUAAUAAUUUAAGCUGUUUAUGUAUACCUGAGACACCAUUAACUGACAUUUUUUACAACCUGCUGAAGUAAUGACAAAGACAAAUAUUUAUUAAAUAUCUUGCUGGUUUGUUUUGUUGGGGACAAACUGGGGUGUGGACGAUGUUAAAGCUAAGAUCAUAAAAAAACUGGAUUCAUUCUAGGCUACGCAACUAAAAAUACAUAAAUCAUCUGAUUAACUGCAUUGUAAGGAUGUAGGUGUUACAAAUAUCUAGUUGAAACACAGGAUUUCUCUGCAGGGGAGGCAUGCACUGCCCGAGUUUGAAGUGUAACAUGGGAUUUCUCUCCAGAGCAGCCAUGCACUGCCCAGGCUGGAAGUAUGCUCAACCACAAGGGUCAGGGCUGGGAGAGGCGCUUCGGUAGCAAGAAGGUGCCUCUGAAAACCAGCAUUGGGAUGGAGAGGGCUGAAGGCAAGUGCUGGAUGUGACCACGGGCAGCUUUCAGGCUGGGAGCACGGAUGCCAAGAACCCAAAACACCAAAAAAACUGGUGCUUAGACCCACAGGUCCAAGAACCGAAGGAAGAAAAUGAAACAAUUUAUUUUCAGUACUGUAAACACUGCUGCUAUUCUCUUAGAUGUUUUUCUUCCAUGAUAUACCCUUAUCCUGUAUUGGUUUGUAUAGAUUAGCACAUUAGGUUUCAGAAGUCAUUUUAAACUCCAUCUUCAUCCUCCAUAUUUGAAAUAUUUAAAAUCUACAGAUUUUCAGGUCAAAGUUGUAGAGAUAAGUAAGCUAGAAAACAAUAAUAGAAAACAUGAGACGAUUGGUCUCAAAUUCCAAACAGGUGACUUGAGAUGUCCUAGAGAAAGCAGCUGGAGCCAUAGCACCUUUGUCUCUAACAGCCGAUACACUCAGAGGCUCAUGUGCUUCUGUGCGCCAACCCCAAUCGCCCUGACGGGUGCACAACUCAACUAAAUAUACUCAUUUAAAACAUCCAAAUAUGUUGACUGAGUGCCUGCUAUGUGGAAAACAUUUUCCUGGGAACUCUGGGGAAAGGAAACACUCAUUUUGAUAUAGAUUAUAAUCUGAAAUCCAUCACAGCUGAUAUUCCACACGAUGGUGUAGCAGACACUUUCCAAGGUCACCACCCAUCUCACAAAAGGAAAUUAAAUCUGAUUCACAGAGCAGACCACAAAGAGCAUGUCUGGACCUAGAACCACAGCAUGUAACCUCGGAAGCAGUGAGACACCAGCCAGCAUGGACAAGCAGCAGGCACUUGCUCUAUACCAGGUGAGGGUGUGGAGACAUGACGUGGUGCAGGGACACCAGCACCCAGUCCUAGUUCUGGUCCCUCUCAGCCUUGUUAGGUCCUGGUUCCUAAGAUUCCAGGGAACAUCCCCACAGCCUCACAAUAAGAUCCUCCUUUCCUGCAUAUGCUAGCUUGGAUGGGAUCCUCUGUUCUGUAAUCAGUAUGGCAACAGAGCAGAUGAAAUAUUUAAUGGUCUUUCAUGAGCACUAAAUUUUGUUUUUUACAAACUAGGUUAGAUUCUGUCAAAUAAUCGUCUAAUGGUGUAUUCGAGUGUAUAUUAAGGAUCUGAUUCAUUCUAUACCCACUAACCAUAACCAAACAGAUUAAGUUUUCUUUCUCAGAAUCUAAUCCUUCAGUUUCUUGGAAGCUGGACUAGUUUCAGAGCAUCUACAAACAUUUCUGGAAUAUUUAACUUACCCUGAAAUAACAGACGAUAGACAGUAAUUCCCUAAAUUAUUUUCCCCAGUUGUUGCAAAAUAAAGCAAAUGCAGAGUUUCUAGGACUAUAAAAGGAACUCAACUUCCCGGAUCCUAGUAAAGAAACAGGAAACAGCUUGAAGCUCUCUGGUUUGUUUUAUGGCUCAUGAAAAAGCUUUAGCCCAACUUGGCAAAAGAAAGGCAGGGAAAGAGUUCAUAUGGCUCUGCACAAACCCAACCCAAUUACUAAUUUCAUGUUAGCCACUCUUUAUGUGGAAUGAGAGGGCUCACAGAUGCCCUGCCCUCCAAAACACGCCACAGGGAGGACACAUUCCCAUCAGCAUCAGGGGUUCAUGCUAACACAGAGAAAAUGCGUAUGACUGCAGGAGUCCAUGCUUGGUUUAAAUAGCCCUGCUGUUGACUCAGAUAUGUACAGGUAGGCAGGAACCACACACUGUACACAUAUACCACAUGCCACCACACACCAUACAUCCCACAGACCAAUGUGUGCAUAAAUACAUGCACAACCAUACAUACACACCAUACAUACAACACACAUACACCAUACACACAACACACACCAAUGUGUGCACAAAUACACAGCCACAUACCACAUGCACAUGCAAGCACACACAAUGGAGAAUCACUGCCUCAAAAGCUCCUCAUAUGCUAUUAUCUGUCAGAAUGUGAACCAUAGAUCUGAUAUUGCAAAAGAAAUGUGUUUUAUGCAACUUUAUUAAUACAUUUAUUUAAUGUGACUCCAUAUUCAACAGAAACAAUCCAAGAUACUCUCUUAUUUAUAAUAGAAUACUUACUUCUUUUGUGCUUUCUUUAUGGACAUAGAUCCAUUUUUCAUGAUAAAAACCUAGAAUAAAAAUUACCUUUGUUUUUAAAAUCUGGCAAAUCAUUUCAAAAUGAAGAUUUUAAAGGAAUUUAAAUAAUUGGACAUAUUAACAAAAUUAUCUGACUUACUAUAUUGACAAGAAAUGCUUUUACUUGGUUGAAUGCAAACAGAAUUGCUUUGUUUCUUAAAUCAGUUUAAGAUAUGAACAAUGAUUUCAGACAGUACCAAGUCCUAGUAACUUAGAAGAAAAUUAGUAUUAUUAAUGACUGAAGCCAUAUGAAGACAUAAAUGAUUAUAAAAUGCAAUUACAUUACUACAUUCCUAUGUACCCUAAUAAAAAGUUCUAUUCUUCUGUUGCUGUGUAUAGUACUCCAUAGAAACAAAUUUUUCAGAUAAAUCUUAAAAGUUUCAAGAAUCACACUAACUGUAUUCUCCAUGUGACCCUAUCUUCUUCAUAAAGUAGUCCCCCCGUAUUCACAGUUUCAUCUUCUACAGUUUCAAUUACCCACAGUCAGCUUUGGUUUGAAAACAUUAAGUGGAAAAUUCCAGAAAUAAACCAUUCAUAAGUUUUAAAUUGUGUGCCAUUCUGGGUGGUGUCAUGAAAUCUCACACCGUCCUGCUCUGUCCUGCCUGGGAUGCAAAUCCUCCCUUUGUCAAGCGAGUCCUACACUACCCGCCCCUUGGUCACUCAGUAGCCGUCUUGGUUAUCGGAUCACCUGUUGAGAUAUCACAGUGCUUGUGUUUAAAGAACCCUUAUUGCACUUCAUAAUAGCCCCAAAGUGCAAGAGCAGUGAUGGUGGCCAUCUUGCUAUAACUGUUUCAUUUUAUUAUUAUUCUCGUUAAUCUCUUACUGCACCUAAUUUAUAAAUUAAACUUUAUUAUAAGUGUGUAUAUACAGAAAAAAAAACAUAGUAUCCAUAAGGUUUGGUAGUAUCCACAGUUUCAGGCAUCCACUGGAGGUCUAUCCCCUGAGGUAAGGAAGCCUACUAUACAUUAACAUGUGUCUUGGUAACUCACAGAUAUGCUGCAUGAUAGAACGCUAUGCCCUCUCACAGAUAGGUCCCACCUCCAGCCUUCCCCUGCUGCCAUCUAACAUCCUAAACUCCAGCUCUGAAUGUCUGUCUCCUGCUCUGAAUCUUCAGUGACUUCGAAACUCAAGUCAGGACACCUCUCAGUUUGGCCUCACUGCUCAAGAUUGAGCUGAAUUCAUGACCAUAAUUCAAGCAUUCAGAUUCAUGGGCUGUUUUGUGGGUUUUGCUAUCUCUUAUUUUGUUUUUGCACAUCUUACCCACUGAAACGUUGGGCUGCAAAAAGUUUGAUCACUAAAUAUGUAGGCAAUGCUGGAUACUGGGCUGUUAUUUACAUAUUUGUAUCACCUUUUAUUUCAUAAGAUAGCAUUGUCAGAGUAAUUUAGUAUUUCAACAUAAUCAACAAGUAAAAUAAAAUUAAUGAGAAUGAUCUUA
rnacentral:lncRNA from 1 species